rnacentral:rRNA from 1 species
UACGUAGGGGGCAAGCGUUAUCCGGAUUUACUGGGUGUAAAGGGAGCGUAGGCGGCUGUGCAAGUCUGGAGUGAAAGGCAUGGGCUCAACCUGUGGACUGCUUUGGAAACUGUGCGGCUUGAGUGUCGGAGAGGCAAGUGGAAUUCCUAGUGUAGCGGUGAAAUGCGUAGAUAUUAGGAGGAACACCAGUGGCGAAGGCGGCUUGCUGGACGAUGACUGACGUUGAGGCUCGAAAGCGUGGGGAGCAAACAGG